AUCAACUUUCGAUGGUAGGAUAGAGGCCUACCAUGGUGGUAACGGGUAACGGGGUGUUAGGGCACGACACCGGAGAGGGAGCCUGAGAAACGGCUACCACAUCCAAGGAUGGCAGCAGGCGCGCAAAUUACCCAAUCCCGACACGGGGAGGUAGUGACAAUAAAUAACAAUACGGGGUUCUUUUGGAUUUCGUAAUUGGAAUGAGUACAAUUUAAAUCUCUUAACGAGGAACAAUUGGAGGGCAAGUCUGGUGCCAGCAGCCGCGGUAAUUCCAGCUCCAAUAGUGUAUAUUAAAGUUGUUGCAGUUAAAAAGCUCGUAGUUGAAUUUCGGGGUUAGUAGGUUGGUCGUGCCUUUGGUAUGUACUGGUCUUACUGGCUCCUCCUUCUUGAAGAACUGUAAUGUCAUUAAUUUGGUGUUGCAGGGAAACAGGACUGUUACUUUGAAAAAAUUAGAGUGUUUAAAGCAUGCUAACGCCUGAAUACAUUAGCAUGGAAUAAUGAAAUAGGACGUUUGAUCCUAUUUUGUUGGUUUCUAGGAUCGACGUAAUGAUUAAUAGGGAUAGUUGGGGGCAUUAGUAUUCAAUUGUCAGAGGUGAAAUUCUUGGAUUUAUUGAAGACUAACCACUGCGAAAGCAUUUGCCAAGGAUGUUUUCAUUAAUCAAGAACGAAAGUUAGGGGAUCGAAGACGAUCGGAUACCGUCGUAGUCUUAACCAUAAACUAUGCCGACUAGGGAU
rnacentral:sRNA from 1 species